CGAAAUGCGAUAAGUAAUGUGAAUUGCAGAAUCCAGUGAAUCAUCGAAUCUUUGAACGCACCUUGCGCUCCUUGGUAUUCCUUGGAGCAUGCCUGUUUGAGUAUCAUGAAAUCUUCAAAGUAAAUCUUUUGUUAACUCAAUUGGUUUCUACUUUGGUAUUGGAGGUCUUUGCAGCUUCACACCUGCUCCUCUUUGUUCAUUAGCUGGAUCUCAGUGUUAUGCUUGGUUCCACUCGGCGUGAUAAGUUAUCUAUCGCUGAGGACACUGUAAAAGGUGGCCAAGGUAAAUGCAGAUGAACCGCUUCUAAUAGUCCAUUGACUUGGACAAUACUUUUAUGAUCUGAUCUCAAAUCAGGUAGGACUACCCGCUGAACUUAAGC
rnacentral:misc_RNA from 1 species